GAAAAUCAAUUACAAAAAAUUAAUAAAUUAAAUAAUAAAGAAACACAAGAUUUCUUGGAAAAUUGACAGUAUUGAUUCAUAUUUUAUCUGAACUGAAAAUGCUUCGAAUGUCAGGUGAUAAAGGUCGACCCGGUAAGAAGAUCAAAUUUUCCAAGGAGGAUUAUAGAGCUUCAACUGCUGGGGAUGAGGCUUCCUAUUUCCCUGGCGAUGACCAUGAUAUUCGCGAUGGUGAAGGGAAAAAGAGGGAUUUUACGAAACUUGAAUUGAAACCUGAUCAUGCCAAUCGCCCCCUGUGGGCUUGUGCGGAUGGUCGAAUCUUUCUCGAGACUUUCUCCCCGCUAUACAAGCAAGCCUAUGAUUUUCUCAUUGCCAUUGCUGAACCCGUUUGCAGGCCCGAAUCAAUGCAUGAGUACAACUUGACACCACACUCUCUAUAUGCUGCUGUGUCUGUGGGACUUGAAACAGAGACAAUCAUAUCUGUUUUGAAUAAAUUGUCAAAGACGAAGCUUCCGAAAGAUAUGAUUGAUUUCAUACAUAGCUCUACUGCUAAUUAUGGCAAAGUGAAGCUUGUGCUGAAGAAAAACCGAUACUUAAUAGAAUCCCCAUUUCCUGAGGUGUUAAAAAGGUUGCUCCAGGACGAAGUCAUCUCACGGGCAAGAAUAUCCUUUGAGGGGGUCCAUGGAAGCGAUGGUUUUACGGUUGGCAAAUCUGCAGGUGAAAUAGUAGGUGGACAUGAUGAAUUGCUAAAUGAAGCACAAUUGGCUGCUGCAGCUGAAGAGAAAGAAACCCAUUCAUUUGAAAUUGACCCUGCACAGGUUGAGAAUGUGAAGCAACGUUGUUUGCCUAACGCUCUGAAUUAUCCCAUGUUGGAGGAGUAUGACUUCAGAAAUGACACUGUUAAUCCUGAUCUUGAGGUGGAAUUGAAGCCUCAUGCACAACCACGUCCUUAUCAAGAAAAGAGUCUUAGCAAGAUGUUUGGAAACGGUAGAGCACGUUCUGGUAUCAUUGUGCUGCCAUGUGGUGCUGGGAAGUCUUUGGUUGGUGUUUCUGCAGCAUGCAGAAUAAGAAAAAGUUGUCUUUGUUUAGCAACAAAUGCUGUGUCUGUGGAUCAGUGGGCUUUCCAGUUUAGGCUAUGGUCAAACAUUAAAGAAGAGCAAAUUUGUCGUUUCACAUCUGAUAGCAAAGAAAGAUUCCGUGGCAAUGCUGGGGUGGUGGUGGCGACAUAUAAUAUGAUUGCUUUUGGUGGCAAACGUUCCGAAGAAGCUGAAAAGAUCAUUGAAGAAAUAAGAAACAGGGAGUGGGGAUUGCUUCUCAUGGAUGAGGUGCAUGUUGUCCCUGCUCACAUGUUUCGGAAGGUCAUCAGCCUAACAAAAUCUCACUGCAAACUUGGGCUUACUGCAACGCUUGUAAGAGAGGACGAGAGGAUCACAGAUUUGAACUUCCUUAUUGGUCCAAAGUUGUAUGAGGCGAAUUGGUUGGAUUUAGUGAAAGGAGGGUUCAUUGCAAAUGUCCAGUGUGCAGAAGUCUGGUGUCCAAUGACGAAGGAGUUCUUUGCUGAAUAUCUUAAGAAAGAAAAUUCAAAGAAGAAGCAGGCACUUUAUGUGAUGAACCCUAAUAAAUUUAGGGCUUGUGAGUUUCUUAUCCGGUUUCAUGAACAGCAGCGGGGGGAUAAGAUAAUUGUUUUUGCUGACAAUCUUUUUGCAAUCAGAGAGUACGCAUUGAAGCUUGGAAAACCUAUGAUCUAUGGUGCUACUAGCCAUCCUGAGAGAACCAAAAUCCUUGAAGCAUUCAAAACUAGUCGAGAUCUUAACACUGUAUUCCUCUCAAAGGUAGGAGAUAAUUCUAUAGAUAUUCCUGAGGCAAAUGUUAUAAUUCAGAUUUCAUCACAUGCUGGUUCAAGGCGUCAAGAAGCCCAACGACUGGGGCGUAUUCUUAGGGCCAAGGGGAAGCCUCAGGACAGGAUUGCAGGUGGCAAGGAGGAGUACAAUGCAUUUUUCUACUCCCUUGUAUCUACGGAUACCCAGGAAAUGUAUUACUCUACAAAAAGGCAGCAGUUUUUGGUUGAUCAAGGUUAUAGCUUUAAGGUCAUCACAGGCUUGCCCCCUCCAGAUGCAGAAUCUUCGUUGAGUUAUUCUCAUCCUGAGGAGCAGCAUGCACUUCUUAAGAAUGUGCUAAGUCAGGGUGAUGAUGCAGUUGGUUUGGAGCGACUAGAAGAAGAUGCAGAUGACAUUGCCCUUCAGAAAGCCCGUCGUUCUGGGGGAUCCAUGAGUGCAAUGUCAGGAGCCAGUGGAAUGGUAUACAUGGAAUACAAUACUGGGCAGAAAAAUGUGCAUGGGCAGACAAAAAGCAAGCCCAAGGACCCGGCUAAGAGACACCAACUGUUCAAGAAACGUUUCGUUUCAUGAAGCCUUGCAUAUUCUUUUAUCAGUUGAGGAAGGCUAGCCGUUGUCAUCUAAUUCCCAAUAUUUUCCACUUUCGGGACAAAAAGGAUUGGUCAUUGGCUCAGAUUGAUACAGACUAGUGGUGUAAUAGUCUAGGACCGUGUCUCUUUGUUCGGCUCUUUGGUGGAGGGAUGGCGAAUCUCUAGGUUUUUGGAGGAAAGAUACGAAUAUAAAGCUGAGCAUCUCAGAUUCUCAGGACUGUCGUUCAAGAACUCUUUUUUUUUUUCUUUUUUCUUUUUUUAUAUGACACGUUUGUCAUGAGCUCGGCCAUUUAUCGUGACAAGAGCCUUGUCAAGGCAGUGUACCAAUAUGGAAUUGCUACUUGCUUUGUUGGCGCAAUGGGACGAGAAUUUAGCGGUGGUGGCAUACUAAUCAAAAUGAACUAAAUUUUGUCAUUUUUUGUGGUGGUGGAAAAUACCACACCAACAAAACGAAGCAUAAGAGUGGGCUCUUAAGAAAAGUUUUCCGGAGAGAGUGAAAUAUUGUUGCGUUUAUUGUGGAUUCUCCACUUGAACUUGCAAUUUCUUAGUUCUUUUUCACUUUUGACAUCCUUAAGAGAAAUUUCUUGGAGGCUAAUCGAAGAUUAAGCCUUAAUAGUUAUGAAAACAUGGACUAAAAACUUGAGAUA